UACAGAGGUCUCGAGCGUUGUUCGGAUUCAUUGGGCGUAAAGGGCGCGUAGGCUGCGGGGCAAGUCAGGUGUGAAAUCUCAGAGCUCAACUCUGAAACUGCACUCGAUACUGCUUUGCUUGAGGACUGGAGAGGAGAUUGGAAUUCACGGUGUAGCAGUGAAAUGCGUAGAUAUCGUGAGGAAGACCAGUGGCGAAGGCGGAUCUCUGGACAGUUCCUGACGCUGAGGCGCGAAGGCCAGGGGAGCAAACGGG
rnacentral:rRNA from 1 species